UACGUAGGGAGCAAGCGUUGUCCGGAAUUACUGGGCGUAAAGCGUGCGCAGGCGGUUCGUGAUGUCUGGUGUGAAAGCCCCGGGCUUAACCUGGGAAUUGCAUUGGAAACUAGCGGGCUGGAGUGUGGCAGAGGGGGGUGGAAUUCCACGUGUAGCAGUGAAAUGCGUAGAGAUGUGGAGGAACACCGAUGGCGAAGGCAGCCCCCUGGGCUAACACUGACGCUCAUGCACGAAAGCGUGGGGAGCAAACAGG
rnacentral:rRNA from 1 species